rnacentral:tRNA from 1 species
GCCUCGUUGGCGUAGUGGAUAGCGCGUUCGCCUUCUAAGCGAAAGAUCGCGGGUUCGACCCCCGCACGAGGUA